rnacentral:rRNA from 1 species
UGCGUAGGUGGUCCUUCAAGUCGAUGGUUAAAGGCUACGGCUCAACCGUAGUAAGCCGCCGAAACUGGAGGACUUGAGUGCAGGAGAGGAAAGUGGAAUUCCCAGUGUAGCGGUGAAAUGCGUAGAUAUUGGGAGAACACCAGUAGCGAAGGCGGCUUUCUGGACUGCAACUGACACUGAGGCACGAAAGCGUGGGUAGCAAACA